GAUGAACGCUGGCGGCGUGCCUAAUACAUGCAAGUCGAGCGAACAGAUAAGGAGCUUGCUCCUUUGACGUUAGCGGCGGACGGGUGAGUAACACGUGGAUAACCUACCUAUAAGACUGGGAUAACUUCGGGAAACCGGAGCUAAUACCGGAUAACAUAUUGAUCCGCAUGGUUCAAUAGUGAAAGGCGGCUUUGCUGUCACUUAUAGAUGGAUCCGCGCCGUAUUAGCUAGUUGGUAAGGUAACGGCUUACCAAGGCAACGAUACGUAGCCGACCUGAGAGGGUGAUCGGCCACACUGGAACUGAGACACGGUCCAGACUCCUACGGGAGGCAGCAGUAGGGAAUCUUCCGCAAUGGGCGAAAGCCUGACGGAGCAACGCCGCGUGAGUGAUGAAGGUCUUCGGAUCGUAAAACUCUGUUAUCAGGGAAGAACAAAUGUGUAAGUAACUGUGCACAUCUUGACGGUACCUGAUCAGAAAGCCACGGCUAACUACGUG
rnacentral:rRNA from 1 species